rnacentral:rRNA from 1 species
GAUGAACGCUAGCUACAGGCUUAACACACGCAAGUCGAGGGGAAACGAUAGAGAAAGCUUGCUUUUUCUAGGCGUCGACCGGCGCACGGGUGAGUAACGCGUAUCCAACCUGCCCAUCACUUGGGGAUAACCUUGCGAAAGUAAGACUAAUACCCAAUGACGUCUCUAGAAGACAUCUGAAAGAGAUUAAAGAUUUAUCGGUGAUGGAUGGGGAUGCGUCUGAUUAGCUUGUUGGCGGGGUAACGGCCCACCAAGGCGACGAUCAGUAGGGGUUCUGAGAGGAAGGUCCCCCAAAUUGGAACUGAGACACGGUCCAAACGCCUACGGGAGGCAGCAGUGAGGAAUAUUGGUCAAUGGACGAGAGUCUGAACCAGCCAAGUAGCGUGCAGGAUGACGGCCCUAUGGGUUGUAAACUGCUUUUAUAAGGGAAUAAAGUGAGAGUCGUGACUCUUUUUGCAUGUACCUUAUGAAUAAGGACCGGCUAAUUCCGUGCCAGCCGCCGCGGUAA